AAAAGGUGGCUAUGCUACCGCUUUUGGAUGGGCCCGCGGCGCAUUAGCUAGUUGGUGGGGUAAAGGCUUACCAAGGCAAUGAUGCGUAGCCGAACUGAGAGGUUGAUCGGCCACAUUGGGACUGAGACACGGCCCAAACUCCUACGGGAGGCAGCAGUAGGGAAUCUUCCACAAUGGGCGAAAGCCUGAUGGAGCAACGCCGCGUGGGUGAAGAAGGUCUUCGGAUCGUAAAACCCUGUUGUUAGAGAAGAAAGUGCGUGAGAGUAACUGUUCACGUUUCGACGGUAUCUAACCAGAAAGCCACGGCUAACUACGUGCCAGCAGCCGCGGUAAUACGUAGGUGGCAAGCGUUAUCCGGAUUUAUUGGGCGUAAAGGGAACGCAGGCGGUCUUUUAAGUCUGAUGUGAAAGCCUUCGGCUUAACCGGAGUAGUGCAUUGGAAACUGGGAGACUUGAGUGCAGAAGAGGAGAGUGGAACUCCAUGUGUAGCGGUGAAAUGCGUAGAUAUAUGAAAGAACACCAGUGGCGAAAGCGGCUCUCUGGUCUGUAACUGACGCUGAGGUUCGAAAGCGUGGGUAGCAAACAGGAUUAGAUACCCUGGUAGUCCACGCCGUAAACGAUGAAUGCUAAGUGUUGGAGGGUUUCCGCCCUUCA
rnacentral:rRNA from 1 species